GAGUUUGAUCCUGGCUCAGGAUGAACGCUAGCGGCAGGCCUAAUACAUGCAAGUCGAGGGGCAGCACAGGUAGCAAUACCGGGUGGCGACCGGCAAACGGGUGCGGAACACGUACGCAACCUUCCUCUGAGUGGGGAAUAGCCCGAAGAAAUUCGGAUUAAUACCCCGUAAUAUUGUUAGGUGGCAUCACCUGACAAUUAAAGAACUUCGCUUAGAGAUGGGCGUGCGUCUGAUUAGGUAGUUGGUGAGGUAACGGCUCACCAAGCCGAUGAUCAGUAACUGGCGUGAGAGCGCGACCAGUCACACGGGCACUGAGACACGGGCCCGACUCCUACGGGAGGCAGCAGUAAGGAAUAUUGGUCAAUGGACGCAAGUCUGAACCAGCCAUGCCGCGUGAAGGAUGAAGGUCCUCUGGAUUGUAAACUUCUUUUAUCUGGGAAGAAACCACUUUUAUCUAAAGGUGUUGACGGUACCAGAGGAAUAAGCACCGGCUAACUCCGUGCCAGCAGCCGUGGUAAUACGGAGGGUGCAAGCGUUAUCCGGAUUCACUGGGUUUAAAGGGUGCGUAGGCGGAUUUGUAAGUCCGUGGUGAAAUCUCCAGGCUUAACCUGGAAACUGCCGUGGAUACUAUAAAUCUUGAAUGUUGUGGAGGUUAGCGGAAUAUGUCAUGUAGCGGUGAAAUGCAUAGAUAUGACAUAGAACACCAAUUGCGAAGGCAGCUGGCUACACAAAUAUUGACGCUG
rnacentral:rRNA from 1 species